UACGUAGGGUGCAAGCGUUGUCCGGAAUUAUUGGGCGUAAAGAGCUCGUAGGCGGUUUGUCGCGUCUGCUGUGAAAACCCGAGGCUCAACCUCGGGCCUGCAUUCGAUACGGGCAGGCUAGAGUUCGGUAGGGGAGACUGGAAUUCCUGGUGUAGCGGUGAAAUGCGCAGAUAUCAGGAGGAACACCGGUGGCGAAGGCGGGUCUCUGGGCCGGUACUGACGCUGAGGAGCGAAAGCGUGGGGAGCGAACAGG
rnacentral:rRNA from 1 species